GUUGAAAUUUCGAGGCUCACUCCCAGCAGAUUGGAGAAGUUGGAAAUUGUGGUCUCUCUUCAUUGAACCAGACUUGUGGUUUCUGAAACAUAGAGAAGACAUCGAACUAAGGUUUUCAAAGGUGGAUCAUAUGUUGGUGUGUGUAGAUUAAUUCAUUGACUCUGAGCCAUAGUAGUAAUCUAUUAAAGAAAGGGUAGAUAACCAUUUGGUACCCUGUGUUUUUGCAAAGUAUCAUCUUGGUACCCGUGUUUACAAAUAAUGCUCAUUUAGUACCCUACAUUUUAAAAUCGUACAUAUUUGCUACAUGCAUUUUAAAAUUAUACAUAUUUGAUAUCCUGUAUUUUAAAAUUGUACAUAUUUGGUACACUAAACUCAAAUUUAAUUAAUAAGAUUUUACUAAUUUAAUCAAAUUAUUCUCAAUCAUAUGAGCAUAUUAUAUAAUUGCUAAUAGUUUGAUCAUAUUGAAAAAAAAUUAUCAAUUAGGAUAACAAAUAUCUAUGUUAUCAAAAUACAGGGUACUAUAUGAGUAUUAUUGAAAAUACAAGGUACCAGAACGAUACUUUGCAAAAACAAAGGGUACCAAAUGUGUAAAUUCCCUUAAAGAAACCAUGUCUCCAGUGCUCCAAAAAGCUUGGCUGCUUCCUUUUGUGCAUCUAAAAUGGGCCAGUGUGGAGAAGCCAGGUUGUCAAGCUCUGGAACCGCUGCCAAAUCACGAAUAAAUGGUUUGAGACCAAUGAGUUGAGUUAAUGAAGAUGGGGCACAGCAACCUCUGUUGUGAGCAGGAAAGUCAAAUGUGGCAGCAUUUUGUUGAGCUACAGUCUUCAUUGCACUAACAAGUGGAAGAGGAUUAUGUUGCUGUUGUUUGGAUAUCUCUAUGUUAUACAACACAACUUCAUCUAAUCUAACUUUGUUGUGGUUUCCUA